AAAUUCUCUUUCACCCUAAAAUCCCUUCAAAUUACUAUUAGGCUAAAAUUCCUAAGAGGUGGCCGCAAAAUUUCAUCAAAAUGCACAAAGUUGCAAAGAACUCAGAAGGGUAGUGUCUAAAAUUUAUCUCUCCAAGCGACUUUACACAAAUUGCACCAUUGGAUUAUCCGCCUAAACAAGAGUAAGUUUAAUUUCUUUCUCUUUAAUCGGUUCUGUUUCUUUUUUCUUCUUCGUGCUUUUUUUCCCCGAUUGAAUCAGAAAUCGAAAAAAGGAUUCUGCAAUUUUUUAGUUUCUUUAGUUGUUUUCUUUAAUUGAUUAUUUUAAUACUGAUUUUUCUUGUGUAAGUGAUAAAAGUGAGAUUAUUGGAUUUUAAAUUAUUUUGUAAAAGGUAAACCUAAAAGUUUUGAAUAUCCAAUUUGGGAAUUUACGAGUUCAACAUACAAAAAGCAGGAAUAGACAUAUAGGCUGCAAAUGAACAAUAUAGAAGUGCAUUCUAGAAGUGGAAUUUGGAAGUUUUGACAGUUUAGGGAUUUCCCUCUUUCUUUCCUUUUUUUCUUUUCUAUAAUUUGGAAGUUUUGGCAGUUUAGGGAUUUCUCCCUUUCUUUCCUUUUUUCCUUUUCUAUUAAAGCAGAUUGAACUUUAUUGUUUUUAGGCCUCUGAUACAGGGAGAAUAAGAGGGAAUGAUGAAAUAGAACGGAAAGAUUUAAGUACUAAAUAGUUGGAUUCAAAUGUUAUUACACCUGGAAUGAAAUUCAUGGAAUUGUUGUCAUCUGCACUUCAAUACUAUGUACGUUUGAAAGUGAAUGUAGACUCUGGUUGUCAAGGAAUCAAGAUAAGUGUACUUCUGAUGGACACUUGCUCUCAUGCUCUAUGGGAUAUGCUUUUUCUGUCAUACAUUAUGCUUUUUCUACAUCGUGAUCUUUUUAGGUUAUUCUCUCUGAUGCUAGUGUGCCUGGUAAAGGGGAGCAUAAGAUAAUAUCUUAUAUUCGGUUGCAAAGGAAUCUUCCAAGAUUUGAUCCUAAUACACGACAUUGCUUGUAUAGUUUGGUAAUUUGUGGGAUCCUACUUUUCCUUACUUCUCUUUUCUGUUGUACUCUACAACAGCCUACCUUGCCCUUUUUUCUUUAUGCUGAAGUGCUCUUUCAUGACAUCUUUCAAGUGUGUUCUUUUUAUAAUAUUUUCUGGUGCUUCCAUAGGACGUAGACUUGAUAAUGCUGGCAUUGGCGUCACAUGAAGUUCACUUUUAUUCUAAGGGAGGCCAGUGUGUUUUUGGGUGUGUUGUUUUAGGUCUUUUUUCACGUUCUUCUAAUUAUGUCAUCACAACAGGGAAACAAGUUAUUCUGAUUAUGUAAUGAAUUUGUCCUUGAUUGCAGGAUGUCCGCAAAGAUAAAUCAAAGUAUAGAGGUCAACAGAAUAAGAAAGAUAUGUAUAGACAAUAAGCAGGUAGGCACUCAAAAAAAGGGGAAGGGUGCAGCAAAGACUUGGAGAACUUAAUAUCAGAACAGAAGUUUCAGGUUAGAAACUUGAUUUAGUAUGAUGAUGUUGUAUCAUUGUGUUAUCAAGAUCCACCGCUGCAGUAAGUUGUAAGAAUUUGAUGUGGUUGCUUUGCUCUAAAAGUUGGAACUUUAAGAACUGCUCGAUAUAGUUCUAUACUUUUAUUAUGCUGCUACGAAAAAUUCUUAUCAUUUUGCGAACUGUGGGAAAUUAUUCUAUGUUUGUGAAUCCAAAUAACUGUAUAUAUGUUGGUUCCAAGAAGGAAAUUUUUCUCACUCAAAGUAACUUCUGUUUGAAUGCUGAGGCUUCAUUUGUUUCUGCAAAAACAUUUUUUUCUGUUUCCUUUCAUAAAUUUAUCUACAAUAUUUUUCUCUUCCUGAUUAUAUGUUCAAAAUCCAAACUGGUUCUAGUUUCUUGUGAGUGUAAAUUAAGAAAAACCAACAAACACAGAUGAAAGAAAGAAUAGAAGAGGAUAUGAAAUCCUGGAUUUCUGAAAUUAUGAUCUCAUACUGGCAUCUUAUCCGCCAUCAGUAAAUUGUUCUCUAUCUCUCUGGCCUAAUCAUAAUCAGUUAAGAAAAUAUUUGGAGAAAGCCGUCAAAAGUUGGCUUACUGAAUUAACAAGAAACAAUUGGAAGGUACUCGCUCUAUGUAUGAUGUACCAAUUUCAAGGGAAUAAAAAUAGUUUCUUUGGUUUAAAUUGGUUUGCCAUAUGAAAUUAAUCAGAUAGAACAAAUUGACAAUUUCUCCAUUUGUCUUAAUUUAGAUGAACUGUUACUUAAUUUUGUUACAAUUGAUGUCAAAGUUAAUCAUCUAUGAUUUUCACUCUCCUUUUAGAUCUAAUAAGUAAAACCUAGACAGAGAAAACAAGAUAGAUAAAUUUAGGAAAGAGGGUUUGGGUUGAUGAAUACCCUGUAAUUGUUAAGUAGAGAGAAUUUAUUAGAGGACGUUGUUACUGAGGGUGGAAAAUUAGCAAAAGAAUGUUGAUAUCUCCAGCAUGGUUCUUUCAAUCCCUUAUUUUGGUUUUCCUACUACUUUUCUCAUAUGGAGUAGAUGAAAUAUAAUGUAUAUCCAGUGUCAUACUUUUGUUGGUAAGGAGAAUUGAGAACGGAUUGCAUAAUUUUUAUUAUUACCUUUAGGUUCCAAUUGUUUCCCUGUUAUCUGACGGUAUAAUCUGUUAAUAGCUAUCAGUUCAAUAACUCAAGUAAUGGGAUUAGCAAGCAAGUAUGCGUCCUGGACAAGGAUGCAACUAGGUUACAAGAGAAAACAAACAAUUGGUUGGCACGAGCUUAGAAGAGGAAGGAUACAUAGGAAAAACAUGACAGUUUUAAGUUACAAGUUCGAAUUUUCAAUGUUCAAGUGCAACCAUAUUAAGUUUGAAAUACACGUCUUACUGUCCAUCACAUUUAUAUCUAUGAAGAACUAAUUAUUUUGAAAAGGUUAUGGUUAAAAAGCGUGUCAGUUUGAUUUAAAUUGAAAAUGUAAAAGACAAAAAAUAGACAGCUAACUAUAACUAUGUGUGUCCAUAUUAUGUGCUUCUAUAACUUAAUAUAGUGAUACGUAGAAACUGUGAUUCAGGCAGAUUAUUUGUUUAGACUGAAUACUCAUAUUAGUGAUCACAAAAGGCAAGGGCACGUGCAUUAACAGACAGAAUUAGCCACGUAUUAAUUACAUGCUUGCAGUAUCCAGCCAUGUUCAGAACAGGGAACGUGCAACAGAUUUAGAUAGGGUUUCACAUUAUUGGAGAUAACAUAGUUUAUUCAUUACCACUAGGUGGAAUCAUAUAGACAUAUAUUGAACAGAAGCAUGCUGAAGUUAAAAAUGACUAAUCAGACAGCCAUACAGAAUAGGGUGGGGUAGUAGGAAUUAAACAUGCUUGUUUCGGAAACAAGCAAACAAAGAUCAUGGAUCCAACAGGAGCCUGCUAGGGUAAACAAACUAUAGUAGCACAUAGAACAUGACAGGAAUUAAGGCAUACUAGUUAAGAGAGAAAUAAGCAAGAGACAGAAACAUGUCGAUGUCUAUAGUGAAUUGACUAUAUAGCAUAUAGAAUAGAACAUGGUAACAGAAAUUGAGGCAUACCAGUUGAGGAGAUAACAAACAAGAAGGUGAAGGCAAGUGGAAUCGAAGAGUCUAGCCUUGACUUUCAGCCGGCUAGAUAGUGCAGUAAAUCAAAGAACUUGAAUUGUGUAAGUGUGUAAGUAGGAGUUCGUGUGUAUUAGUGUGUGUUUUUGAGUGUAGGUGUGUGAGUCUGAGUGUCGAAAAACCAGAAUGAUGAAGGGUUUUAUAGCAUAUAGUAGAGUAAAACCAAAUAUGGUAGGAGAAUCAAUAGUACACAAAUAAGGCAAAACGACCAAUCAAUCAAUCAAUUAGGGCUUAACAAGAAUCAAUUAAUAGGCAGAAUCAUGGGGGUAUCACUUAAAUUAACACGAACAAAAUCAGUAGCCGAGAUUGAGGUCUUAAUAAGGUAAGUAGUAGGUCCAGAAGUCAAUUAAAAGUCAGGACAUAAAAUCAAGCCGGUAGCACGAAUAAUUAAUCACAUAAAAUAGGUAAAAUCUUAAUAAGGAGUUGCGGGUACUAAAUUCACACCCUAAUUUGGGUAAUAAAAUCAAUUAACACUUAAUUGAUAGGAUUAAAGGUAAACAGGCAAACGAUAGCAGGAUAAACAGUCAAAUAAUCAAAAACCCUAGGAAACACAAAGACAUAUAUAUGGAGCUGGAUUAAAACAAGUAAAAUUAGUCGGAGAGUAAAUAAGAGAGUCAGAGAUGAGAACAUUUAACGCUAAAAACCCUUUUCUCAGAAAUAAAAACCCUAGCUUUUAGAGUAAACGAAAUCGGUCAAUAACAAUAGUAAAAAAAAUAGUAAAUAUUAAAGGAGAAAUGCCAAACAAACACAAAAUCGUUUCAGAUCUAAAGAGAUCUAGACGGAUUCAACCAGAAAAUAGCUAGGUUCAUAAAAAAGGACAAACGCGAAUCAAAUCUGGUUUGAACCAGAGAUUUGAAACCCAGAAAUACGAAGAUACGCAUACUCACAAGUACCAAAGUGAAUAUAGACAGAAUAAUCGAAAAAGGAGAGACUUUGAACCAUAUUUGGUUUAAGUGUCUUGAGAUUCACAUCAAGCAGCGUAGAAAUCGUAUAACCAGUAGAGAUAGGAGGUCGAAUAGGGCCUAAAGUCAAAGGGAAACCUCAUGGAUUGAAGGGUUUCCGGUUGCGGCGGGCUACGGUUUGGGGAGAGUUUGAGAGAGAAAAGAGGAGGAGGGAUUCAAGGGAGGAGGAAUUAAGAGAAAUGAGGCGUUAGGGUUGGGGGUUAGAUUAAAAAAAGGAGUAACGUGGACCGUUGAUCUCAGAGAUCAACGACCACGAUUAGAGGAGGUUCUGGGUCGAGUAAGGGUUAUUUAUUUUGGGCUGGGGUGGAUUGGGUUAGGAUUUUAAGUAAUUGUGCUGGUGUAAUUGGUUUAGGUCCGAAAAUGAUAAAAGGAAAAGGGGCGAUUAUUUAAAUACCCAAUUAACUUAAUAAAAUAAUUUUAUAAAAUAAUUUAUAAAUGAUAAAAAUAUCAUUUGUGCAUGAAAAUAGUUUAAAAUAAUUACUUAGUAUUAUAAAAAAUAUAAAAGUCAUUUUCUGUGUAUAUAAUGUAAUUAUGCAUGUAAUUGCAAAAUGUGCAAUUCUAGCCUUAAAAAUGCAAAGGUAAUUAUAAAAAUACAAUUAAAAUAUUUAAACACUAUAUGAGCAUAAAUAGUGACUUUAGAUGAUUAAAUCAUCAUAAAAUAAUAUGAGAAAUAAUUAUUUGAUAUUUGUAUACUAAAAUGCAGGGAUCAAUUGAUUUAAAGCCUUAAAAAAUUAUAGAAAAAAAUUGUAAAAACACUUGUACAUGCUUGUAAAUCUAAUAACACUGCAUGUACACUAUUUUAAAAAUAUAUAGGCAUAUUCAAAAUAUACGAGGGAAAAAUUGGGUACCAACAGCUUCCCCUCUUUACCCGGGAAGGAUGAAAGAGUUUUUGGGUAAAGAAAUGAUGACCGAUUUUGACCGAAUGGGAUGUCUUGAAAAAUAAUAAAGGCCGCAUCCUGGUCCUUGAGCUGCCUACAUAUCUAUGGUUUUACAAGAAUCAGGCAAUGUGUAGUUCUUGACCCGACGGUGAAUGAGGCCGAUGGAAUUGUUAUAUGAAUGGUAGCAAGUUUCGGAAAGGUUGUUUUGUGAAGGGUAGUAUCGGAUGGGUUUAUGGGAAGUUAUGAAGGCAAAUCUGAAUUGUACCGGGCGUAUCAUAGGGCAGAUAUCUGAACAAUCACAGAGUAAAGGUAGGUAAUUGAUAGGAAUCGGUUAAAUGGCAGAGUAUAAAUGAUACGAGCGAAAAUCGGAGCGAAGGUUGCUCCUGUUUGAAGAACGGUUACCUCCUAGAUUUCCUACAAAACUUAAAACACAAUGCAUGCAAGUAUAUAGAUUGCUGAGAGAAUUUAAACAUAAUACAAAUUCCCUUUUGGACCAUAAAGGUUGUCUUUGGACAGUGAAGCUGACGUCCUUAGACCAUGACAUCUCGGGCCCUGAAUCAUGAGAUAAGAGAUUCGUAGGCCAUGAAAAUGGUGCCUUUGAACCAUGAUGCCUUUGAAUAAUGAUGUUCAGUAUUGAGAGAUCCUCAGGCCAUGACAUGGUGUCUUCAGGCUAAGAGGAUGAUGCCUUCGGACUAUGACGCAUUUGGACAAGUUAGCUAUAUAUCAGCCUAUGAAGUGCAGAGAUAUGAUACCAAAGGUAAUAACAAGGCAACACUUAUCCUCGUACAGAGUUUGGGGGAAGAGCUUAGCCCCGAGAAAAGAAGAUAAUGCAAAUUUGAAAAUGGAGCAACACUUAUGCAGAGGGAGACAAUGCUUAAUCUUACGAGAAGUCAUUGCUUCGCGUUAUGCAAAUAAGAAGGCAGGGCUUAGCCUCAUCCAAAAUUUGAGACAGGGCUUAGUAUUAUGCAUAGAGAAGGCAGUGCUUAGCCUUAUACAAAUAUGGAGGUAGGGCUUAGCCUCAUGCAAGAGUUGAAACAGGGCUUAGUCUCAUGCAAAGAGAAUGCAGUACUUAGCCUUAUACAAAUGUGGAGGUAGGGCUUAUCCUCAUGCAAGAUUUGAGACAGAGCUUAGUCUCAUGCAAAGAGAAGGCAAUGCUUAGCCUUGUGCAAAUGUGGAGGCAGGGCUUAGACUCAUGCAAGAUUUGAGACAGAGUUUAGUCUCAUGCAAAGAGAAGGAAAUGCUUAGCCCUAUGCAGAUAUGGAGGCAGUACUUAGCCUCAUGCAAGAGUUAAGAUAGGGCUUAGUCUCAUACAAAGAGAAAGCAACUCUGUACUACGGAUCUCUGUGGCUGAGGAUGGUCUGGGACAACUCUACACUACUUCCACUUUCUUCAGAUCCACCUUUAUCCCCUCACUCAACACCACGUGACCCAAGAAUGCCAUGAAAUCCAACCAAAACUCACAUUUCGAGAACUUUGCAUAUAAAUUCUUUUGCCUUAAAGUCUUAAGCACUAUCCUCAAGUGUUUCUCAUGAUCUUCCCGACUCAGGGAGUAUACCAGAAUAUCAUCAAUAAAGACAAUGAUGAACGAGUCAAGAUAUGGCCGGAACACACUGUGCAUCAAAUGCAUGAAGGUUGCUGGGGCAUUGGUCAGCCCAAAUGACAUAACAAGGAACUCUUAAUGACCAUACCGAGUCCUGAAAGCAGUAUUCGGGAUAUUUGGCUCCCGAAUCUUCAACUGAUGGUAACCUGAACACAAGUCAAUCUUAUAAAACACUCGUGCACCCUGUAGUUGGUCAAAUAGAUCAUCAAUACGGGGCAAAGGAUAACGUUUCUUCACUGUAACUUUGUUCAAAUGGCGAUAUUCAAUGCACAUACGCAUAGAACCAUCCUUUUUCUUCACAAAAAAGACAAGAGCACCCAAGGUGAUACACUGGACCGAAUAAAACCCUUAUCAAGCCAUUCCUGUAACUGAUCCUUCAACUCCUUCAACUCAGGAGGGGCCAUACGAUACAGAGGAAUAGAAAUGGGUUGAGUGCCUGGCAAUAGAUCAAUGUCAAAAUCAAUAUCUCUAUUGGGCGGCAUGCCCGGAAGAUCAGUUGGAAACACAUCAAAAAAAUCCCAUACUACUGGGACUGAAUCAAUUGUAGGGGUAUCAAUACUGACAUCUCUCACAUAAGCUAGAUACGCGUCACACCCCUUCUCAACCGUACGCUGAGCCUUAAGGAAUGAUAUAACUCUAAUGGAAGUAUGAUCUAAGGUACCCCUCCCCUCUACUCGUGGUACACCUGGCAUAACCAACAUCACGGUUUUGGCAUGCCAAUCAAGAAUAGCAUAAUGGGGCAACAACCAGUCCAUGCCCAAGAUAACAUCAAAAUCUACUAUACUGAGCAAUAAUAAAUCGUCUCUGGUCUCAAAACCACUAAGAGCAACCACACACGACCGAUAAAUGCGGUCCACAACAAGAGAAUCUCCCAUAGGAGUAGAAACAUAAACAGAGGAACUCAAAGAAUCCCCAGAUACACCUAAAUGCGGGGAAAAAUAAGAUGACACAUAAGAAUAGGUGGAGCCUGGAUCGAAUAAAAUUGAUGCAUCUCUAUGACAAAACAGGUGAAUACCUGUGAUGACAUAAUCAGAGGCAACAUCCUCGGUACGUGCAAAAAGGGCAUAAUAUCGGGUCUGGCCUCCCUCUCUAGGGCGACCUCUACCUCCCCAACCUCCACCUCUAGCUGGCUGAGCAGGUGGGGUAGCCAUUGGAGCUGUAACCAUAGCCUGAGAACUCUGCGAGGCACGUUGUGGCUAAGAAGUCUGUGGAGGUGCACCCUUCCUAAGUCUGGGGCAAUCCCUCACCAUAUGGUGGGUGUCACCAUACUCAAAACAAGAUAUGGGAGGACGUGACGGCUGUGACUGGCUCGAGCCAAGUCUGCUGGACUGACCACUGAAAGCAUCCCGUGCAGGAGGCUCACUAGAUACUGGAGGUGCAUAAUAAGGCUUCUUUGAAAGGGAAAAGAAAACUCUUUACAUGUUGGAAAGGGAAGUUAAACAAGCUGAUCUCAUUAAAUGGAACAUUGAGAUCUUCUCCACGGUGUGGUAGGACGAAAGAAUAUGUAGUACAAACUACCAAUCAUACAAAUUCCACCUAUGGCAGACUUACUAUGAACUACACUGCCAGUCUAAUGAGUAACAAGGGAAAGUAAAGCAUAGAGCAGCAUAUGAGCCGUGCACAGAACUACUUCCAUCCCAUACCAAGAUGUGGGAGAAACGACACAUGAGGAAGCUAAUCAUGACUAAAACCAUUCAGUUUUUCUUCCUUCACUAGUUUUAUGCAAGAUGCCAUUUCAUACUACAGCAACCAUAACCAAGAUAGUGGAAUAUCUGAGCAAUUAAGCAAAGAAAAUUUAUAAAUUGAAGUCCAUGAUUUGGUCGCAAAGUUUCUCGGCAACUUCAUCCACAUUUGCCACCUCUUUUGUGAUUUUAAGAGUCACUUUAUUAAUCAUAUAUGGCUGCCACGUGAAAGACUAACUAACCUUAUCCAAAUAAAUAAAUUAAUUAGUUAAUCUCUCACUAAAAAUUAUUAAUUACCCAAUGAUCUGCAUAAUUAAGAAUUAUCUCCAAUUACUUAAAGUACCACUUACUUUUAACAUAAUUUAUACACCCUACUAUCAUGGUCAUAUACCACAUAAAAUAAACACAUACACUAUUGUUUUUAUUAAAACAUCCAUGUAAAAAUACAUAUAUUUUCUCAACUUAUAACUUUCCUAAUCUCAUAUAAAGAGUAAAAUUUUCGUACGCUUAAUUCUUAAAAUGGUAAAAAGACAACCUUAUUUUCUUGUGAGAAAAUAAUUUCAAUCUUUACAAUAAAGAAAAUCUCAUAAACUUUCUCAUAUUUUAUAUGUGUAAAAUAUAAAGCAUAUUCGAAAGUAGUAAUAUUAUUAACUAUAUAAAAUUAAAUUUUUCAAACUUUUUAUAAAAAUGUUCCAUUCAAAAUAUCACAUCAAAUAUAUAUAACGGUAUCAAGGUUGUUAAACUUACGGGGUCUUACAAUAACAUAGUCACAAUUUCUCUAUAAUCUCAUGAAUGGUCUUAAUCCCUUCAACCUCAUAUGGAUUACUACGACUUAUCCUACUAUUAAAGUACGUGAUGUAACAGGCGGAGUUGCAUAUGGGCUUGUGGUAGGAUGACUACGCACCUUAAGGAGAGUUUGGAAUGAUUUGGGAAUUUUAGGGAUUGGUGAUUUGGGUCUAUGGAUUUAAUUUGAAGUGUGGAUAUUACGCGACAGGAGAUUUGAUAUAACGGAAAAGGAGCUGCUUGAAAUGAAGAAGGAUACAACCUAAAUUUGAAUUGCAAGGAUGUUUCCACACAUUUAAUUGAUGUCCACGAGGAGUGAAUGGACUUGUCCAGCUAGAGAGUGAGCUCAGACUCAGGAUAGGGUGUUGAUGUCGUAGUGAUUGUACCCCGUCCAACAGCGUUGGAAGAUGUCGGCACGUAUAGUUCAUAUGUGGAUUAUCUCCAGUGAGCAGAUCGACGGUUGCAUGUUUGGCGAAGCUUCUGUGAAGAAUUCUGUUGGUUAUACAGCAAAGGGAUUGGUCGUGCGAAUGUGGUUGAUGGUUCAGAUUAUAAAAAGGGGUUUCUACAGAAAGAUUUCAAUAAUUUUGGCGGUUGAUUGCGCAAGGUUAUGUCAAUAAGAGAUAAACAAUCCUGUUGAAUUCCAGAGUUGUGUAAUAAGUGGCUUCAAGCUAAGUGGGAGAGUCGCACCGCCUAUAUUUGGGUUGCAUGGUUAACUACUUAUAAGGUUUCUUGAUGUUAUCAUAUUGAUGGGUUAUUUCAGCUACGGGAAAAGAACAUUAGAGGUAAUUUGAGCAAAGAAAUUAUUAAAGGUGUGCUAUAGUUGGCAUUAUUGGUUCAUGUUCAAACUUGGGGAAGGAUUCAGGAUUUAUGCCUUGUAUAGAUGCGGGUUUCAAGGGAAGUGAUUCUGCCGGGUGCUUCGUCGAGAGGGUAUUCAUGUGCUAGAAGAUUCAUGGAAUUGAUUAUAUUCGGGGCCAAGUCAGAGAGGGUGGCUUUCAACAACAGUCCUAGUGGAUUCAAAGGGGUAAAAGUGUGGUGCCUAAUGAUUACUAGCCUAUAGAUACGGUUAAGAAUCAAGCUUUUGUAGUAGCUUAUGAGAAGAAACCCAGAAUAUUCUAUGAUGUUUUGACUUGCAGUGUAGCAUUUGGGAGGUAUGAAAUGGUUCGUGGGAUUUGAGACAGCAUGGUCUCGUGAUUCAGGGUCACUCGGGAUGAGUACGGAUGGAGUGAGCUAUGUGUUGAAUGGUGUUAUUAUUAUUUCAAAGGAAAUCAAGAAUAAAUUGUGUGAAUAUAUAUUGGCUAGCCAUAGUUGAGUUGGCAUAUUGGUGGUAGCGAUCAGUUCCUUCAGCGUGACCAAGUUAUGCAAGUGAUUGUGACGGAACGUGUGAGGCUUGUCGGUCACCGUAAUUGAUGUUAUUUAGAAGCAUUCUACUGUUAUGGCCUGUUAUGUGGAGGCGGAUCCCGGAAGGGCUAUGGUGGCUUAGACCACUACUUAGAGAUUGACAUAUUCUACGGUUAUGAGAAUUCACCUGACAUAUUCUACGGUUAUGAGAAUUCACCAGUGUUUUACUAUGCUUCUCCUGAAGUGAAUUAGGUGAAAAGUUUUUAUAUGAUGAAGCGUUAACCUAUUAGUGGUUCCGGAGUUAUGAUGAAAAUCAUGUUCUAUCGCAUAUUGGCAUGAUGGGUGCAGUAAGUGGUAUGAAAAUUGAAGUAAGGAUCAAAGUUGCAGUUUGGUGUUGACAAGGAUGUCACGGGCUCGGAUGAGCAGGAAGGGAGUUUCGAUGUUUAAAGUAAGUUGGUAUUGUCCUCAGCGUCACCUGAGAUUGGUGCUUUGUGAAAAAGGCUUUGCAUCCUGGUUAAGGAUUCUUGAUCGCUUUUCAGCGUUAGUGCGGCCGGUGGUUUGGAUGUACUGACAUGUUAUCUUAUACGGAAGGGCUGUGGGAGUGUGCCCCACGGGAAGGUUGUAUAAGUGUGGCAUGUAGUCACUUGAUUGAUUGAAGAUUUAAGCCAAGUAUGAAGAUUGUGGUGAUGACAUUAAAUUUAGAAUUGAUGCCUGGAGGGCACUCAAUCUAUUGUGUUGUGGACUAUGGAGGAUUACUCCGGUUAAGAUGGUUGUUCUUGUGUGUUAUGAGAAAAAGGGGAGUUAUUAUGUACCUUUGAAAGGUUAUUAGCCUAGUUUAGUGCGAUCAAAAUCAGCUUGAGGUUUGUGGAUGGAUUUAAAUGUGAAUAUGGGCCUUAUAUCAGGCCGAAUGUGUUCAUUUCAGCAUAACGCUCCUUAUGGAGGAGUAUUCAGAUAUGGGGUGUUAUUUCAUCGUCGUCUAUUUCAUGUAAUGCUAUAUUGUUCCGUGUGAGUUGUGAACGACUCGAUAAUUUUCUUAUGUAUUGAGGUUUCGUGUAACGAUGGUAAUAUAUGAGCAGAAUGGCUCUUGAGAUUCAGAUCGUAUAUCGCACCUCAGUUGUGCUUGAGUUAGUAGCUUAUAGCGCUAUAUGUCUCCUCAGGGAUGGUAUUAUGCACAUAGCAUGCUUGUGACCGAUAUUCGGUAUUUGUUGUGAUGAGCGAUUUAGUUCGAUGUAUAUCAUAUUAUGUGUGGAUCGGGUGGCACGCCGCCAAGGGUAUGUUAUUUGGAUCGGGUUGCACGCCGCAACAGUGUCUGUUGAGUACAGUUUUUUAUAUGCUAUUUUUGUAUGCUUUGUUUCCCAUUUUCUAAGGAAAGUCCAUAUUAGUGCGUGAGUUGAGUAGUUCCUUCCAGAGUUCGGUUUCCCUUGUAUCACAUUCGAAUAGAUAGCCUAUCGGCACAUUGCGGCAUCAUAUGAGGCUUUUGAUCAUGUUCGGGGUGGCUUAUUGCCUGAGUAGUUCGUAGUGACUGAGACGCGGUUAUUGGAUCUAGGAAUAGUGCAGUCGGAUUCUAUGAAGUAUAUUAAAAAGCAAAGACCAUUAUUUGGUUCAGAAUGAGGUGAUGCCUCUUGUCUGGAGUAUAGACCCAAUGAAUUGUUGAUUCGGCAGUUGGUUAUAAAUUUCUACACAUCUCUUCCGUUAUGGCGGUAUUGUAAGAGUUAGAGCAAGACCUAUGUAUGCUAUGAGGUGCAAUAGAAGUAUCAGAUUUAGGGAAUUUCGACUAAAUGGAUCAGAGAAUGUUAUUGUGGUCCUGUGAGUAAAGUGGUGUAGGGUGUGAAUUCUGCUAAGGUAUGCAGUCAGGUUUUGGUGCUGCGUGUAGCGAUUGAUACAGUGAGCGUAUGUUGGAACAGGCCUGACAAAGAAUUUCAGACGUUGGAAUAUGGCUCUAAGCAUAUUUGCUUGAAUAAAAGGGAAUAUCUUCAGAAUUGAUCGAGCUAAUAUGCUCAACUGGGUUGUAGUAGCACGGGUAAGUGCACGAGGUGUUAAACAGUGAUUUCAGGCAACCUCAGCAUAGUUCUUAGCACAUUCGAGGACGAAUGUAUGUUUAAGUGGAAAAGAAUGUAACGACCCGACCGGUCAUUUUGAGCUCUAGCGUGUCGUUCAGCAGUUUGAGUCCAAGAGCAGCUUCACUUCAGGUAUUAUGACUUGUGCGCAUGGUCGGAAUAAAAUUCCGGGAAGUUCGGAGUUGAUUUGGAAAGAGAAUUCUCAUUUCGAAAGCUUUAAGUUGAAAGAAUUGACUAAGGGUGGAUUUUUGAGUAAAUGACCUCGAAAUCGGGAUUCGAAGGUUCCAACAGGUUUGUAUGAUGAUUUUGGACUUGGGCGUAUGUCCGGACUAGGUUUUGGAAGACCCGAGAACGUUUUGUCGCCUAUUGUGGAAGUUAGCAUUUGGAAGAAAUUUCAUAAGUUUGGGUUGAAGUGCAUUUCAGUGUUAUCGAUGUCCGUUUGGGAUUCAAAGUCUGUGAGUAGCUCUGUAUAGUGAUUCUGGAGUUGGGAGCGCGAUCGGAAGUGAAUUCGGAGGUCCAUAGGUCAUUUUGGAGUAAUUUGGCUAAAGAUAAAAAUUUGAAGGUUUUUGAUAAGUUUGACCGGAAGUGGACUUUUUGAUAUCGCGGUCGGAAUCUGAUUCCGAAAGUGGGAGUAGGUCUGUAAUGUCGAAUAUGACUUGUGUGCAAAAUUUAAGGGCUAUUGGACGUGAUUUGAUUGGUUUAAACAUCGAAAGUAGAAGUUUGAGAUUCUAAAGUUCAUAAAGCUUGGAUUGGAGGUCGAUUCAUGAUUUUAGCAUUGGUUGAUAUGAUUUGACGCCUCGAGCAAGUCCGUAAUGUGUUUUGGGACUGGUUAGUAUGAUUGGUUGGUAUGAUUGGUUGGGGUCCCUGGGGCCUCGGGUGGAUUCCGGGUGGUUAACGGAUCGAAAAUUGAAUUUUGGAGAAGGCUGAAGUUGUUGGUGUAACCGCACCUGCGAAACUAGGGCUGCAGUUGCGGAACCGCAGAAGCAAAAAUAGACGGCUAGGCUAUGACCACAGAUGCGGUCAUUUUUCCUCAGAUGCGGGACCGCACCUGCGGAAGGAGAAGCACAGAUGCGGAAGUUGAAUUCUUAGGGGAAGACCGUAGAAGCGACAAUUGGUCCGCACCUACGGGACCGCAGAAGCAGUCAAUAAACUGCAGGUGUGAAAGGACUGGAGGCAGUAAGUGUUUUAAAAAUCGGGAUUUGGCCAUUUUCUCUCAUUUUUCUCUUGGCUUGGGCAAUUCUUGGAGGGUUUCAAGAGGGGGUUUUCAUCAUCAACGAUAAGGUAAGCUAUCCCCACCUAUCUUGAGUUAAAUACAUUGAUUAUGUACGGAGUUGAGCAUGAAAUUUGUAGAAACUUGGGGUUUGAGGGAAAAUCUAGAAAAUUGAUAUUCUUUGAAUUUGACCACGAUUUUGGGCAUGAAAUUGAGAGUAAGUUAUAUAUUUGGGUUCGUGAGGUUAUGGGUAAACUUUAUCUUCGAAAAAUUUCAGAAUCUAGGCACGUAGGCCCGAUGGCAAUUUUGUCAACUUUUCGAUCAGGGUUAGGAAUUGCUAUAAAUUGGAUUGUAAUGAGUAAUUGAACAGGUAUUAAUAGAUUUGCAUAAUUAUUGGCUAGUUUUGGAUCAUUGUGCAUUGAUUCAAGUAUUCGGGAGGGCGUGGAAUGCCGGUAAUGGAUCUUCAGAGCGAGGUGAGUCUCCUUUCUAACCUUGUAAGAGGGAAUUAUCCACAUAGGUGAAAUAAUUGGUUAUGUGCUCCUAUUUGUGGGAGCUACGUAUGCACGAGGUGAUGAGAGUCCAUGCGUAGCUACUAUUACGCUAUUGUCCGGGUAGUCUAGGACCCAAAAGCAUGCUAUACUUGGAAUACCUGUAACCUUAUUGAUAGUUGAUUGCUUAAAUUCUAUUGAAUUGGUAAAUGGAUUUAUAAAAAGAAUUAAACUUCAUUUUUCUAAAUUGUUAAAAGAGAAUUGGUUUUCUUUGGAUAAUUGUUUCCUGAUGACUUCUUGAUUGUUUGUCUAUGCGGGUUUAAAUUCUGGAACGGGCCAAACGCCUCGGCAGAUUAAAUAGAUGCAUCUAUGGUUCACGCCAUUUGACCCUCUGGCAGUGCACAGUUUAAAUAUUUUUGGAUCGGGCCGUAUGUCUUCGGCAUGAUUUGGGCAUGCUUGUAUUGCUUGCCUUGAGAUUUAUUGGUAUGGAUAUUUUCUCUCCCCGACUUGAGAUACUUGUUAAUUAAUAGAUUAUGAAUCCGAAUUUUUUUUUAAUAUAAAAAGGAACUUUUACCUGUUCGUGACUUAUUUGAAAUUACUGUAGUUCUUAAUAAAUCCAUGAUUAUUCGCAUUAAUAAUAUAUUACUAUUGGACCACUAGUACGUAUUGAAGUCGAUCUCUCGUCUCUACUUCUUCGAGAUUAGACGGGAUACUCAUUCGGUACACGUUAUUUUCGUACUCAUACUACACUUAUUGUGCAUUUUCUUUGCACAGGUUUAUAUGGGUCUUAGUGGCAUGGUUAGUACGGAGAGUUAGGUGAGCUACAUUUUUGAGACGCCCCGCAGUCGGCAGAGUCUCCUUCAGAGUAUUGUAUUGUAUUUUCAUUUUUGUCCACUUGUAUUACGAACAGUCACGGUAUUUUAUUUCGUUCACUGGCAGAUGCUCAUGCACUUGUGACACCAGGUUCUGGGAUGAUCACGAGGUUUUUCAGUAGUUAAAUUUUGUAAAGACAUCCUCAUAUAUCUAGCGGAG
rnacentral:lncRNA from 1 species